rnacentral:tRNA from 2 species
GCCGGGGUCUCCUAGCCCGGCAGGGAGCAAGCCUGGAGAGCUUGUGGCCUUUCGGGGCCGCGGGGGUUCAAAUCCCCUUCCCGGCGCCA